UACGGAGGGGGCUAGCGUUGUUCGGAAUUACUGGGCGUAAAGCGCACGUAGGCGGCUUUGUAAGUUAGAGGUGAAAGCCCGGGGCUCAACUCCGGAAUUGCCUUUAAGACUGCAUCGCUAGAAUUGUGGAGAGGUAAGUGGAAUUCCAAGUGUAGAGGUGAAAUUCGUAGAUAUUCGGAAGAACACCAGUGGCGAAGGCGACUUACUGGACACAUAUUGACGCUGAGGAGCGAAAGCCAGGGGAGCAAACGGG
rnacentral:rRNA from 1 species